ensembl:lncRNA
GCCUGGAGUUACCUGUGCUUCUCAAUUUGCAAGAAUUUGGAGUUCAAGGUUGCUUGCUGUGCCUACUCUCUGCACUAAUACUGCCCAUCCUUAUCUACCCCUCUCUGUCUCAGUUUCCUCUGGGUAUGUUGCCCCAUCUCCUGUCUGUGGUUUGGAAGCUCUAUGGGGAAAGAAGGUGAGAGACCUAUCUUUCACUGUGAGUUUGUAAAGUAUGAGACUUUGCUCUCAGUCCUACUUCAUUAAGCAGAGGUGAACCUACCUUUAAGUGAGGACUCAAAUCUGAAAUCUGAAUAUAAAGCAGACGGUCGGAGGGCUUCUCUUCCAGCCAGCUCAACCUGGACAAAAAUGGCAGAGAAAACAGGGAGAUGAACAAUGCCAGCCUAUGCAGGGAAAACCUGAGGAUAAGCCCUGUGCUUUGGUGGGUACUGUAAUCUGCCUUUCAGAGACAAAGCGUGAACCUUCAAUCUUCAAGUAAAGCCACAGCCACGAUGAGAUGAAACGACUUGCCUAAUAUCACUCUAGCUGCAUCAGAACUCACAGCCCUGGGUAAUGACUCAGCCAGAAGACCACCCUUCCUCUUGAACAGUAGCUGGAGGGCUAAAUGCGAGUAGCCUGGCAAAGGAGGGGAUAUGUUGUUCACACAGCUGAAGAUUUCUGGACAUCCUGCGGCUUUGCCACAAGCCACCCCCCUCCAUUCCUUGGCACAGGAUCUUUGUCAAAGCAGCUAAAGAGAAAUGCUUCUCUGGUGGUGUUCCCAGUGGCCCAUCUGCACGCUUCAGUGUUAACUUCCUGCUUACAAAAGCCCAGCUCCCCAAGGACUCUGCCACCGGGCAAGAAACAGGAAACCAACCCUCUCACAGGCAAGUGAAGAAGGGCAAGGAAAGAAAGAAAGAAGGAAAGAAAGAAAGAAAGAAAGGAAAUCAGGAAAAAACAAUGUUAAUGUGAACACUUACAACUGGAAACGGGUAGCAGGAUCACCACGGAAAAUGCCUGCUCUCUCCCUGGAGUUCAUCUGGGGCCCACGUGCUCGCUCCAUUUCCCCACCAGGGCACUGGGGGCUCUCAGAGGCGCUACAGGCAUCGUGGCUACAUGGAGGCAUGUAGCAAACCGGCUCUGAUUUCUGCCCAAAGGCAUCAGUGUCAUACCGGUCGGGAUGUCAGCUUGGGAGAAUGUCAAGGCAGCAGUCACGGUGUGCUGUCACAAAGAGAAAUAGAUAUCAUUUCAAACACACAGCUCUGGAGAGAGGAGGGAGAGGCAGAAAAGAGAAUCCCAUCAUGCACUUUUAGUGGGGGGAAGAGAAGAGAAGGAGGCUUAACUCUGUUUUGGCCAUACCGGAGGAGGCAGAGGGAGAGGAUGUACCACAUCCUCACAGCCACCACGCCAAUAGGCUAGGAGGGCCAGGGGAUGCUCCAGAGCAGGCUUCAUUCUUAGCUGUUUUAUUCACUUUGUUUCCAAAGGAGCUGGAAUUGGCCUCUAUGGAUUAUUUCCUGCUUUAUGGGCAUCCUUGGCCAGCAGGAAGCUUUGGUCUCAGUGCAAAGGAGGUGGAUAGUGACAUGGUGGCAGUGAACGGCUCCACUGGUUUUCUCUCCUCUUCAACUUACACCUCCACAUGUUGGUGAUAAAGGAGUCUUAAACCCAACCUCCCUCCUACUUCAAUUGUCUUAGUAAGAAUCAAGCCUUGUAGCAGGCAGCCCUGACUUAUAAACAUUGCAUGACAUCCUUCUCCAAAGUAGGACGGCUGUUACAGUCAGAACUUCCCCUGUUACAUGGGCCUUAUAUGGAGAUAUCCCAUUGCAUCUACCACAUGGGUGAAUUAGACUGUGCUGUUCCUGCAGCUGUGAAGUUCUCAGGCCUUGUUUUGCAAAGAGGAAACAAUAUGGAGGCAUUGUAUCCAGGUGACAUAAAGCAGCUGUGGCACAGCCAGGACUGAAAAACAGAGCAUCCGAAUCUCCUUCCCCACUACAGGAGCAUGCUGGGCAGCUCCUGUCUCUUACCUUUCC